rnacentral:rRNA from 1 species
GCGAGCGAACGGGGACCAGCCGAGCCGUGAGAAUGACCAGAAUGUGCUGGAAAGCACAGCCAUAGCGGGUGACAGCCCCGUAUGGGAAGUUUGAUCGGACGUAUUAAGUAGGGCGGGACACGUGAAAUCCUGUCUGAAGAUCGGGGGACCACCCUCGAAGGCUAAGUACUCCUUACUGACCGAUAGCGAACCAGUACCGUGAGGGAAAGGUGAAAAGCACCCCGACGAGGGGAGUGAAACAGUUUCUGAAACCGGACGCCUACAAGCAGUCGGAGCCGCCCAGUUCUUCGGAACACGGCGCGGUGACGGCGUACCUUUUGUAUAAUGGGUCAACGACUUGGUCUAUCUAGCAAGCUUAAGCCGUUAGGUGUAGGCGCAGCGAAAGCGAGUCUUAAAUGGGCGACUAAGUUAGAUGGAUCAGACCCGAAACCAGAUGAUCUAGGCAUGAGCAGAAUGAAGGUUGGGUAACACCAACUGGAGUUCGAACCCACACCUGUUAGAAAAGGUCGGAUGACUUGUG